rnacentral:rRNA from 1 species
AGCAGCCGCGGUAAUUCCAGCUCCAAUAGCGUAUAUUAAAGUUGUUGCAGUUAAAAAGCUCGUAGUUGAAUUUCGGGAUUAGUACGCUGGUCGUGCCUUUGGUAUGUACUGGUGUUACUGAUUCCUACCUUCUGACGAACCGUCAUGUCAUUAAUUUGGUGUGGCGGGAAAUCAGGACUGUUACUUUGAAAAAAUUAGAGUGUUUAAAGCAGGCUCGCGCUUGAAUACAUUAGCAUGGAAUAAUGAAAUAGGACGUUCGAUCCUAUUUUGUUGGUUUCUAGGAUUGACGUAAUGAUUAAUAGGGAUAGUUGGGGGCAUUAGUAUUCAAUUGUCAGAGGUGAAAUUCUUGGAUUUAUUGAAGCUAACUACUGCGAAAGCAUUUGUCCAAGGAUGUUUUCAUUAAAUCAAGAACGAAAGUUAGGGGAUCGAAGACGAUCAGAUACCGUCGUAGUCUUAACCAUAAACUAUGCCGACUAGGGAUCGGAUGAUGUUAAUUUUUAAUGACUCAUUCGCGCCCUAC